GAGUUUGAUUCUGGCUCAGGAUGAACGCGGCGGCGUGCUUAACACAUGCAAGUCGAACGAUCCAGCACUCAACUACCAACUACAUUUUCAAGAAGAAACGAAAGUGUGGUUAGUAGUUGAGUGCUGGAGAGUGGCGGACGGGUGCGUAACGUGUGGGUAAUCUGCCUUUGUCAUGGGAAUAACUGCUUGAAAGAGCAGCUAAUACCGAAUAACAUAUGCAAUAGGCAUCUAUUGGAUAUCAAAGAGAAAUCGGACAAAGAUGAGCCCGCAUCUGAUUAGCUAGUUGGUAGGGUAACAGCCUACCAAGGCAACGAUCAGUAGCCGACCUGAGAGGGUGAACGGCCACAUUGGAACUGAGACACGGUCCAAACUCCUACGGGAGGCAGCAGUGGGGAAUAUUGCACAAUGGGGGGAACCCUGAUGCAGCAACGCCGCGUGAGUGAAGAAGGCUUUCGAGUCGUAAAACUCUGUUGUAAGGGAAGAUAAUGACA
rnacentral:rRNA from 1 species